rnacentral:rRNA from 1 species
UACGAGGGGAGCUAGCGUUAUUCGGAAUUACUGGGCGUAAAGCGCACGUAGGCGGCUUUGUAAGUUAGAGGUGAAAGCCCAGAGCUCAACUCUGGAAUAGCCUUUAAGACUGCAUCGCUUGAAUCCAGGAGAGGUGAGUGGAAUUCCGAGUGUAGAGGUGAAAUUCGUAGAUAUUCGCAAGAACACCAGUGGCGAAGGCGGCUGACUGGUCCGGUUCUGACGCUGAGGCGCGAAAGCGUGGGGAGCAAACAGG